rnacentral:rRNA from 1 species
ACCUGCACAGGUGCUGCAUGGCUGUCGUCAGCUCGUGUCGUGAGAUGUUCGGGUUAAGUCCCGCAACGAGCGCAACCCUUAUCCCUAGUUGCCAUCAGGUAAGCUGGGAACUCUGGGGAGACUGCCGGUGAUAAACCGGAGGAAGGCGGGGAUGACGUCAAGUCCUCAUGGCCCUUACAUCCCGGGCUACACACGUGCUACAAUGGCAGGUACAGAGGGCCGCGAAGCCGCGAGGUGGAGCGAAUCCCAGAAAACCUGUCUCAGUCCGGAUUGAAGUCUGCAACUCGCCUACAUGAAGUCGGAAUCGCUAGUAAUCGCGGAUCAGCACGCCGCGGUCGAAUACGUUCCCGGGCCUU